UACGUAGGUGGCAAGCGUUAUCCGGAAUUAUUGGGCGUAAAGCGCGCGCAGGCGGUUCCUUAAGUCUGAUGUGAAAGCCCACGGCUCAACCGUGGAGGGUCAUUGGAAACUGGGGAACUUGAGUGCAGAAGAGAAAAGCGGAAUUCCACGUGUAGCGGUGAAAUGCGUAGAGAUGUGGAGGAACACCAGUGGCGAAGGCGGGUCUCUGGGCCGAUACUGACGCUGAGGAGCGAAAGCGUGGGGAGCGAACAGG
rnacentral:rRNA from 1 species